CAGUAGCCGCGGGAAAACAGAGGGUGCGAGCGUUAAUCGGAUUUACUGGGCGUAAAGCGUGCGUAGGCGGCUUCUUAAGUCGGAUGUGAAAUCCCUGAGCUUAACUUAGGAAUUGCAUUCGAUACUGGGAAGCUAGAGUAUGGGAGAGGAUGGUAGAAUUCCAGGUGUAGCGGUGAAAUGCGUAGAGAUCUGGAGGAAUACCGAUGGCGAAGGCAGCCAUCUGGCCUAAUACUGACGCUGAGGUACGAAAGCAUGGGGAGCAAACAGGAUUAGAUACCCGCGUAGUCCCUGUCUCUUAUAU
rnacentral:rRNA from 1 species